ensembl:lncRNA
GUUGAUUGAGAGCAUGCCCAGUCGAAUUGCAGAGGUCCUGAAAAAGAAGGGCCAACACUGCAAAUACUGACUCUUUGCAUAAAUGUCAUGUAAUUGUCGAUAAAAGCCUUUGAAACGUAUGAAGUGCUUGUAAUUAUAUUUCAGUACAUCACAGAAACAACUGGAACAAAGAUCUAAAAGCAGUUUAGCAGCAAACUUUUUGAAAACUAAUAUUUAUGUAAUUCUCAAAACUUUUGGCCACGACUGUACACAGAUGUCUAUGGAAGUGGCAAUAAUGAUCUUAGAAAUAUAAUUUAACAACUUUUUUUCAUAUACACAUUGCCACUAAUAACAUUUACUGUAUUCUAUUCCCAGUUCAUCAGAAACAUGCUUUCUGGGGUGUGUUCACCCUUGUCAUGUUUGGUUCGAUUAAAACAAAUCCUGGUGAGAUUGCUCUGUUGGUGCGGUUCGUUUGAAUAAGUGUGAACGCUGCCAUCCGAACCCUGGUGACACCAAACAAGCAGACCAAGACCACUGAAAAGAUGGGUCUCUGUCCGCUUCCAAACGAACUCUGGUGUGGAUCGAAUGAUAUAUGAACUCAAAACACGGACCAAAUACUUCUAAAUGAAGCAAAAACAGGAAGUAAUGACAAGAUGCGACGCUAUGCGAAAUGAUUUGACAAACGUGGAGCAACAGUGAGGUAAAGUGAUUUUUUUUUUCUUUUUUGAGCUUGUUUGCAGGUGGUGAAAAUAAAAUUAUAUGUGCAUGCAAGAAUGAGCUCGCUUAGUCCAGCAGACAGCAUUUGGUGUGUUCAGCUUAAAGCGGCGCUGAGUAGAGCGAUCGGUUAAUGGUUGCUUUGAUAUCACACACCUACAGCGUAUGUUUAACUCUAAUGCACCUUUUGUUUGUGGUGUUCGGUGAGUUCUGUCACUAUAUAUAUGUCAUUCAAGCCGACCAAUCAGGUUUUGAACGUAUCACUGUGUCUUUAGGUUCGCUGUCAAAAAUGCCAUUGUGAAUGCUAAGUGGACCAGGACCAAAUAUAUCAUUUUCCUUUUUGGUCCGGAUCAAACGAACCG